GACGAACGCUGGCGGCGUGCUUAACACAUGCAAGUCGAACGGAGUGGCGAACGGGUGAGUAACACGUGGGUGAUCUGCCUUGCACUUCGGGAUAAGCUUGGGAAACUGGGUCUAAUACCGGAUAGUGCAAGAUGAGCUCGCGGCCUAUCAUCUUGUUGGUGGGGUAAUGGCAUACCAAGGCGUCGACGGGUAGCCGGCCUUCGAGGGUGUACGGCCACAUUGGGACUGAGAUACGGCCCAGAGUCCUACGGGAGGCAGCAGUGGUGAAUAGUGCACAAUGGGCGGAAGCCUGAUGAAGCGACGCCGGGUGGGGGAUGAAGGCUUUCGGGUUGUAAACUCCUUGCGACAGGGACGCGGUACCUGUAUAAGAAGCACCGGCUAACUACGUGCCAGCAGCCGCGGUAAUAC
rnacentral:rRNA from 1 species